rnacentral:rRNA from 1 species
AGUGCUAAGAGAAUGAUUUAACAAUUAAAGGCUUUCUUUAAUUUAAUAAUUGAAUUUAAUUUUUUAGUGCAAAAGCAAAAAUUAUAAUUAGGGACAAGAAGACCCUAUGAAUUUUUAUUUUUUAAUAAUAAUCUUAUUAUUAAAAAAUUUAAUUGGGGUGAUGGAAAAAGAAUAAAUAUCUUUUUGGUAUAUAAAAAUUUAGUUCCGUUUUUAACGAUUUUAUGAAAAAAAUACUCUAGGGAUAACAGCGUAAUAAUUUUGGAUAGUUCAUAUAGAUAAAAUAGUUUGCGACCUCGAUGUUGGAUUAGGAUUCUUUUUCGGUGAAGAAGUUGAGAAGAAGAAGUUUGUU